rnacentral:rRNA from 1 species
UACGAGGGGGGCGAGCGUUGUUCGGAAUUAUUGGGCGUAAAGGGUGCGUAGGCGGUUUGGUAAGUCUGAUGUGAAAUCUAUGGGCUCAACUCAUAGUCUGCAUCGGAAACUGCCGUGCUUGAGUGUGGGAGAGGUGAGUGGAAUUCCUGGUGUAGCGGUGAAAUGCGUAGAUAUCAGGAGGAACACCUGUGGCGAAAGCGGCUCACUGGACCAUAACUGACGCUGAUGCACGAAAGCCAGGGGAGCGAACGGG